rnacentral:rRNA from 1 species
UACGGGGGGGCGAAGCGUUGUUCGGAAUUACUGGGCGUAAAGGGCGCGUAGGCGGCCUGCUAAGUCGAACGUGAAAGUCCCUAGGGCUCACCCAGGAACUGCGUCCUGAUACUGGUUGGCUUGAAUCCGGGAGAGGGAUGUGGAAUUCCAGGUGUAGCGGUGAAUGACGUAGAUAUCUGGAGGAACACCGGUGGCGAAGGCGACAUCCUGGAGCCCGGCAUUGACGCUGAGGCGCGAAAGCCAGGGAGCAAACGGG